rnacentral:tRNA from 1 species
GCCUGGUUGGCUCAGUCAGCAGAGCAUGACUCUUAAUCUCAGGGUUGUGAAUUCGAGUCCCACAUUGGGCA